rnacentral:rRNA from 1 species
CAAUAGCGUAUAUUAAAGUUGUUGCGGUUAAAAAGCUCGUAGUUGGAUUUCUGCUGAGGACGACCGGUCCGCCUCCUGGGUGAGUAUCUGGCUUGGCCUUGGCAUCUUCUUGGAGAACGCUACUGCACUUAACUGUGUGGUGCGGUAACCAGGACUUUUACUUUGAGGAAAUUAGAGUGUUUCAAGCAGGCGUGCGCCUUGAAUACAUUAGCAUGGAAUAAUAAGAUAGGACCUUAGUUCUAUUUUGUUGGUUUCUAGAGCUGGGGUAAAGAUUAAUAGGGAUAGUUGGGGGCAUUCGUAUUUAACUGUCAGAGGUGAAAUUCUUGGAUUUGUUAAAGACGGGCUACUGCGAAAGCAUUUGCCAAGGAUGUUUUCAUUGA